rnacentral:rRNA from 1 species
UACAGAGGGGGCAAGCGUUGUUCGGAAUUACUGGGCGUAAAGGGCGCGUAGGCGGCCUUCUAAGUCGAACGUGAAAUCCCCGGGCUCAACCCGGGAACUGCGUCCGAUACUGGAAGGCUUGAAUCCGGGAGAGGGAUGCGGAAUUCCAGGUGUAGCGGUGAAAUGCGUAGAUAUCUGGAGGAACACCGGUGGCGAAGGCGGCAUCCUGGACCGGUAUUGACGCUGAGGCG